rnacentral:rRNA from 1 species
UACGUAGGGUGCGAGCGUUGUCCGGAAUUAUUGGGCGUAAAGAGCUCGUAGGCGGUGUGUCGCGUCGGUCGUGAAAACUUGGGGCUUAACCCUGAGCUUGCGGUCGAUACGGGCAUCACUGGAGUUCGGCAGGGGAGACUGGAAUUCCUGGUGUAGCGGUGAAAUGCGUAGAUAUCGGGAGGAACACCAGUGGCGAAGGCGACUACCUGGCCUGUUCUUGACGCUGAGGCGCGAAAGCUAGAGGAGCAAACGGG